UUUCGCAAUGCCCGAAAGGGUGACGAAGCGACGCCGCGUGAGUGAGGAAGGCCUUCGGGUUGUAAAGCUCUGUCAGGAGUUAAGAAAUAUAAGUGCGUUAAUACCACAUUUAUUUGACGAAGGCUCCAAAGGAAGCCACGGCUAACUCUGUGCCAGCAGCCGCGGUAAUACGGAGGUGGCAAGCGUUGUUCGGAAUUAUUGGGCGUAAAGAGCACGUAGGUGGGUUUGUAAGUCAGAUGUGAAAGCCUUCUGUUCAACGGAAGAAUUGCAUCUGAAACUGCGAGUCUUGAGUGUAGGAGGGGAGAAUGGAACUUCUGGUGGAGCGGUGAAAUGCGUAGAUAUCAGAAGGAACGCCGGCGGCGAAAGCGAUUCUCUGGCCUAUUACUGACACUCGGUGUGCGAAAGCUAGGGGAGCAAACGGGAUUAGAUACCCCGGUAGUCCUAGCUGUAAACGAUGGGCACUAAGUAGAGGGGUUUUA
rnacentral:rRNA from 1 species